rnacentral:sRNA from 1 species
UGACUCUAAUGCCUAUAUCAUCUCUUUUCCAUAUGGACAAUGUCUAGAGUGGCAAACUGCCACCUGCUCCCCUCAAAAUUGUUCUGGAUUGAGAACCUGUGGACAGUGUUUGGAACAGCCUGGAUGUGGCUGGUGCAAUGAUCCUAGUAAUACAGGAAGAGGACAUUGCGUUGAAGGUUCUUCACGGGGACCAAUGAAGCUUAUUGGAAUGCACCACAAUGAGAUGGUUCUUGACACCAAUCUUUGCCCCAAAGAAAAGAACUAUGAGUGGUCCUUUAUCCAGUGUCCAGCUUGUACAUGCAGUGGCCAUGCAAAUAUCUGUCAUCUGCACACAGGAAAAUGUUUCUGCACAACUAAAGGAAUAAAAGGUGACCAAUGCCAAUUAUGUGACUCUGAAAAUCGCUAUGUUGGUAAUCCACUUAGAGGAACAUGUUAUUAUUGCAUUCUCACAACACAAUACAAUCAUGGACCUUGUGCAGUUUUUUGUCACCUUCUUCAGUUGUUUCCUAUCCUUAUUGCUGGUGGCUGCUGUGGUAUGGAAGAUCAAACAAACCUGUUGGGCUUCUCGA